rnacentral:lncRNA from 1 species
UUUUGCUUUUUAGGGCCACACCCGCGGCACAUGGAGGUUCCCAGGCCAGGGGUCGAAUCAGAGCUACAGCUGCUGGCCACAGUCACAGCCAUAGCAACAUCAGAUCCAAGCUGCGUCUGUGACCUACACCGCGGCUCACGGCAACACCGGAUCCUUAAUCCACCAAGUGGGGGCAGGGAUCGAACCUGUGUCCUCAUGGAUACUAGUUGGCCUUGUUACCGCUGAGCCACAGUGGGAACUCUGGACAAGUAACUGCUUCAAAGAGACUUUCUUCUUAGGAUCUCACCUUUGCUGCAAAGAAAAACCCAAACAGGCUUUGUGAUUUUAGCCUGUUGUCCCCCCUCCCAGCAGCCUCUCAAGGGUUUAUUUUUGAGAUUCAUUUUUCCCCGAGUAGGAAUCAUGCCUUAGAAAACAAGUCAUUAUCAUGCGUUUGUGUUUUAAAUGACCUGGUUUUCUCACUCUGCUCCGUUUAUAAUAUCUUCCGUUCAUUCAUUCCACAAACAGAUGCUCUCCGCCAUCUACAGAGAAUCCUGUUGUGCUGGAGCCAGAAGGGCCGGCUUCGUGGGAGAGCUGGAAACGGACCUGGAACCUCAAGGUUGGGAGAGGGGGAACUCGGGUGAGGACCAAGGGCAGGGCAGGUAGAAAGUGGGCCCGGAAAUUAACACGCCCCCUCCGGUCAAUCAACAAGCACUUCCACGUGGUUCAGGCCCCCUGCUCGGCUCUGGCCUGGAGCCGCAAGCAGGUACAGGUGAUUCCAAUAGCGUGAGCGUGGGAGAAACGCAGGCGUCUAAGGGAAGGGCUCUGGCUCGGAGACGAGGCAGGGCUGCCAGGAAGAGAGUGACAUUGCAGCCGAGACGGGAAGAAGGUGUGGGUGAUGGCUUCAAGCAAAGGGAAUGUCCGUUUUGACAUCCCCACGUCAAGGGAGGGGCUGCUCCCCCCAGGCCCGCAGGAGGAAGCCUCAGCUGGGAGCCAGCCCAACACCUCUGACACCGGCCGCCCUGCCUUUGGGCGAAGAGGGAGCCGGCCUCGGGCGCGGAGGCUUCCGCAGGCGCCGGUGUCCAGCUGGGAUUUGCUCACACGUCCUUGCACUGGUGUUUAUGGCAGCCCUCCGUUGACGGCUGAACCUUCCCCACUUUGCUGUCAACCUGGAUUCUGCUGCUACAGCCCUGGGAUGUUCAGGAGCUGAAGCCACGAAGAUGUUCCGUGUGGUGUUAUUUACAGCAGGAGGGGAGAAUCGGAAAUAACACAGGGGUCGGCAAUGACUGGACUGUUAAAAUAACUCCCACCACUUCCUUCAUUGGCGUGAACACUGAGGACUAUCAGGUCCCAAGAGAACCAAGGUUUUUUCCUCUUGUUGAAAGAAGAAUCCCUCAGCCCCGAAAAUAACGGCCAGCAUAUAAAGGUGUUUGGUAUGUAUUCUGGGGAUGAAUGAAUAAAUAAUGCUGUGAAAUUAAUUUCCA